rnacentral:rRNA from 1 species
AGAGUUUGAUCCUUGGCUCAGGACGAACGCUGGCGGCGUGCCUAAUACAUGCAAGUCGAACGCUUCUUUUCUACCGAGUGCUUGCACUCACUUGAAAAGAGGAGUGGCGGACGGGUGAGUAACACGUGGGUAACCUACCCAUCAGAGGGGGAUAACACUUGGAAACAGGUGCUAAUACCGCAUAAUAGUCGACAUCGCAUGGUGUUGAUUUGAAAGACGCUUUCGGGUGUCACUGAUGGAUGGACCCGCGGUGCAUUAGCUAGUUGGUGAGGUAACGGCUCACCAAGGCCAUGAUGCAUAGCCGACCUGAGAGGGUGAUCGGCCACACUGGGACUGAGACACGGCCCAGACUCCUACGGGAGGCAGCAGUAGGGAAUCUUCGGCAAUGGACGAAAGUCUGACCGAGCAACGCCGCGUGAGUGAAGAAGGUUUUCGGAUCGUAAAACUCUGUUGUUAGAGAAGAACAAGUAGGAGAGUAACUGCUCUUACCUUGACGGUAUCUAACCAGAAAGCCACGGCUAACUACGUGCCAGCAGCCGCGGUAAUACGUAGGUGGCAAGCGUUGUCCGGAUUUAUUGGGCGUAAAGCGAGCGCAGGCGGUUUCUUAAGUCUGAUGUGAAAGCCCCCGGCUCAACCGGGGAGGGUCAUUGGAAACUGGGAGACUUGAGUGCAGAAGAAGAGAGUGGAAAUUCCAUGUGUAGCGGUGAAAUGCGUAGAUAUAUGGAGGAACACCAGUGGCGAAGCGACUCUCUGGUCUGUAACUGACGCUGAGCUCGAAAGCGUGGGGAGCAAGCAGAUUAGAUAC